AAUGUAUAUAUAUGGUUUUGUCAAUGUUGCAUUCUGAAGGUUUUAUAUGGAUAGCUCAGGUUCAGGUAGUUACUAUAUAUCUUUCACUAUAUGUGCAAGA